CUAGAAGGAAGAGGGGACUGUGUUGACAGUGACACAAUCUUAGAUUAUAUGGCGUUUCUCCUCCCUUCCCAUGCACUGAAAAUCACCUGAUAUGGUUAGGCUUUGUGUUCCAAACCAAAUCUCAUCUUGAAUUGUAAUCCCCAGGUGUUGAUGGAGAAACCAGGUGGGAGGUGACUGGGUCAUGGGGGCAGUUUCCCCCAUACUGUUUUGUGAUAGUGAGUUCUCAUGAGAUCUGAUGAUUUCUUAAGGCAGUCUUCCCUGCUCUUGCACACUUCUCUCUCCUGCCGUCCUCUGAAGAGGUGCCUUCCACCAUGACUGUAACUUUCCUGAGGCCUCCCAAGCUGUGCAGAACUGUGAGGGAGUGGGAGAGACAAAGGAAGCAAUGACAAUAAGGUGAAAUGAAAGGAAGGGGAGACCAAGAAGGAUUGGCUUUCUGAGACCCCUCAGAUGAUGGCUUCAGAGAUGUUUCUGCUCAUUGUGGGCACUGAGAAAGACCACGAUUUUUUUCUAGAAAAGAGUGAGACUUUGACAAGAAUGAAGGCAAGGAGAGAAGAUGCAUGAAAAUGUGUUGGCCUGCUCCUAAAUUGCUCCCAGGACAUGGCUGGGGGAAAAUAAAAAUCAAACAUCCAUCAAGUCA